UAACGGCCUACCAAGGCGACGAUACGUAGCCGACCUGAGAGGGUGAUCGGCCACACUGGAACUGAGACACGGUCCAGACUCCUACGGGAGGCAGCAGUAGGGAAUCUUCCGCAAUGGGCGAAAGCCUGACGGAGCAACGCCGCGUGAGUGAUGAAGGUCUUCGGAUCGUAAAGCUCUGUUGUUAGGGAAGAACAAAUGUGUAAGUAACUGUGCACAUCUUGACGGUACCUAACCAGAAAGCCACGGCUAACUACGUGCCAGCAGCCGCGGUAAUACGUAGGUGGCAAGCGUUAUCCGGAAUUAUUGGGCGUAAAGCGCGCGUAGGCGGUUUUUUAAGUCUGAUGUGAAAGCCCACGGCUCAACCGUGGAGGGUCAUUGGAAACUGGAAAACUUGAGUGCAGAAGAGGAAAGUGGAAUUCCAUGUGUAGCGGUGAAAUGCGCAGAGAUAUGGAGGAACACCAGUGGCGAAGGCGGCUUUCUGGUCUGCAACUGACGCUGAUGUGCGAAAGCGUGGGGAUCAAACAGGAUUAGAUACCCUGGUAGUCCACGCCGUAAACGAUGAGUGCUAAGUGUUAGGGGGUUUCCGCCCCUUAGUGCUGCAGCUAACGCAUUAAGCACUCCGCCUGGGGAGUACGGUCGCAAGACUGAAACUCAAAGGAAUUGACGGGGACCCGCACAAGCGGUGGAGCAUGUGGUUUAAUUCGAAGCAACGCGAAGAACCUUACCAAAUCUUGACAUCCUUUGACCGCUCUAGAGAUAGAGUUUUCCUCUUCGGAGGACAAAGUGACAGGUGGUGCAUGGUUGUCGUCAGCUCGUGUCGUGAGAUGUUGGGUUAAGUCCCGCAACGAGCGCAACCCUUGAACUUAGUUGCCAUCAUUCAGUUGGGCACUCUAAGUUGACUGCCGGUGACAAACCGGAGGAAGGUGGGGAUGACGUCAAAUCAUCAUGCCCCUUAUGAUUUGGGCUACACACGUGCUACAAUGGACAAUACAAAGGGCAGCGAAACCGCGAGGUCAAGCAAAUCCCAUAAAGUUGUUCUCAGUUCGGAUUGUAGUCUGCAACUCGACUACAUGAAGCUGGAAUCGCUAGUAAUCGUAGAUCAGCAUGCUACGGUGAAUACGUUCCCGGGUCUUGUACACACCGCCCGUCACACCACGAGAGUUUGUAACACCCGAAGCCGGUGGAGUAACCAUUUUGGAGCUAGCCGUCGAAGGUGGGACAAAUGAUUGGGGUGAAGUCGUAACAAGGUAGCCGUAUCGGAAGGUGCGGCUGGAUCACCUCCUUU
rnacentral:rRNA from 1 species